CCUAACACAUGCAAGUCGAACGGUAACAGGAAGAAGCUUGCUUCUUUGCUGACGAGUGGCGGACGGGUGAGUAAUGUCUGGGAAACUGCCUGAUGGAGGGGGAUAACUACUGGAAACGGUAGCUAAUACCGCAUAACGUCGCAAGACCAAAGAGGGGGACCUUCGGGCCUCUUGCCAUCGGAUGUGCCCAGAUGGGAUUAGCUUGUUGGUGGGGUAACGGCUCACCAAGGCGACGAUCCCUAGCUGGUCUGAGAGGAUGACCAGCCACACUGGAACUGAGACACGGUCCAGACUCCUACGGGAGGCAGCAGUGGGGAAUAUUGCACAAUGGGCGCAAGCCUGAUGCAGCCAUGCCGCGUGUAUGAAGAAGGCCUUCGGGUUGUAAAGACUU
rnacentral:rRNA from 1 species